AUCCAGCUGACGAGUCCCAAAUAGGACUAAACGCGCAUCUUGGAU
rnacentral:hammerhead_ribozyme from 1 species